rnacentral:rRNA from 1 species
GACGAACGCUGGCGGCGUGCUUAACACAUGCAAGUCGAACGAUGUGGCGAACGGGUGAGUAACGCGUAUUCAACCUGCCCUUCAGAGGGGUACAACAGUUGGAAACGACGGCUAAUACCGCAUACCGAAUGAGGGGAUUGCGUCUUUUUGGCGAGUUGGAGGGGUAACGGCCCACCAAGGCGAUGAUAAGUAGCCGGUCUGAGAGAAUUGACGGCCACAGUGGGACUGGGCAAAGGCCACGAGGACUAGGGGAGGAAGCAGUGGGGAAUCUUCGGCAAGGGACGAAAGUCUGACGGAGCAACGCCGCGUGAGUGAUGACGGGAUUCGGGUUGUAAAGCUCUAUGAAUCUGGACGCGGUACCGGAAUAGGAAGCCACGGCUAACUACGUGCCAGCAGCCGCGGUAAUUC